rnacentral:sRNA from 1 species
UACAACAGGUAACUCUGGCGCAAGUAGC